rnacentral:lncRNA from 1 species
CUUUGAAAUUUAAGCUCAUUGAGGACAUUAUGGGGUGUAUUUAGGAUUGUUAUUCAUUUAAAUUUUUCACAUUUUAAAAGUCAGUCAGUGAUGAUUUAUCAUUUAAUUUUUGAAACUAAUUUAAACUCAUUCAAACUGAUUCAAACCUUUCUAAUCAAAACUUUCUGAUACUUGAGGACUUUUGAUAAUUAAAAUUUUCCCUGUUUUAAAUUAGUUUUAAUAUUUAUGCAUUACUCCAUCAUUCAAACAAAAUCCUACCUCAAGUACGACAACUACUGCUAAUGUCAAUUAAACUAGAACUUUCCCCUCUACUUCAACUGCUAUUGCUCCUAUUUCUACUUUCUCUACUUCAACUGCUAUUGCUACUGUUUCUACUUUCUCUACUAUUUUGACUUAUACUUCUUUUAUUCUCAAACUACUUCUACUGCUGACACGACUACAAGUAUCACGACUUGACCUCUUAUCAUACUACUUCUAGUACUACAACUUAAACUUAUGCCACUUCUCACCUUCCUGCCUUUUAAGGCAGUUUCCUUCUUCAUUCAAACUUUGUGCAAUUUUAAACAUUUUUCUAGCCUCUUUCAGCAUGAAUAAAAUUUCCUUUUAUAGAGCAUAUUCAUACUAUUUGUCCUUCAACCAAUUAAACCAUUAUCCAACUAAUAUUUCUUUUUCACCCCUUCAACAGCUUUAACAUUUAUACCUUUCUCCAUGUUUUAUUAGCAGUUUAGCAUUGCUUUUUCAGCUUUCAGCACUCAGCAUUUCCACGCAUUUUCUGCAAGGAAAUGCAAUUUUUCUAGUAUUAUACUUAACACUCUCCCCAUACGUUUCUUUGGACCGCUUCUCCUCCUUCAAACUUUGUCCGAUUUCAACCGUUCAAACUUUAAACGAUUCCACUCCUUCAGGACAUGAUGGCUAUUACUUUUCUCUUUUCUAUCCUUUAUACUUUUUAUUAUUUUUCACUUUUUGUGCCAAACUUUUUUUCCCAUAGAAAUGAAUGGGGAAAUCUUCCAAUUCUUCCUGUUAUUCGUCCACCUUCUAAGCCUUAUAACUUCAGCAUACUUUCACCUAGAGACCUCAUUUUUGCUUUAAAAUGUUCAUUGUCUUGUCGACUAUUGAUGUUGUAUUAACCUUUUUGUGCUAUCUUUUACAGUUUUUCCACAAUUUAGCUUUAUGCAACUUGUGGUUUUCAGCUAAUUUCAGGCUUUAUAAUAGGGGUGUAUUGGAGAGGCUAGAGUGAUGAUUUGAAAAGCUAGAGUGCAGACCUCGUCUCUGAUCGACAGAACCUCGCUCGAAUAUAUCGCUCCCACGCCCACAAAUCUCACUCCACAGCCAUAAAAAAUACAUCAAAAUGGAGGUAUAUGUGUCCUGCUUCUCACAAAAGAGGUUUCAAAUCAUUAAAUCUUACCCCUUGGCCAGCAGGUGACCAACUGUCCAAAUAGGCGGAAAUCUCUCCCCAUUGGCUCUAAUGUAUUUUUUCUCCAAGAAAAUCCUUAUCGCCACUCAGGCUCAGACUUUUUUAACUCGCUGUUGUGGCCACAUUUUUCGGAGUACAGACAUGAAAAAGACAUCAUUGUGUUCAUGAAGGGCGGAGGAUUCGUACGAUGUUCUUAUUUUCAUUCUGGGACUUAAGGAAAUCACGCUAUGUGAAGAAGUUUAGAGCCUCUAAAUCCUCUGCAGUUCAGCUGCUUCUCAUUCAAACAGUAGGUCAGUGAUUUGCCUUUGAUCUCACAGCUGUUUAGGAUGCAGUCAUUAAUGAGACACACACACACACACACACACACACACACAUUCUUGUAGUUGUUGCUUUAUGAGGUCUACCUUGCAGUUCAGCUGCUUGUACACACAGUUAAUAUGUGUCUGCUUCGCCACCUAUCUCCACCCACAAACUUUGAGCUACAGAAACCAUUCUGGGCUUAUAAAAUUCAGCUCAUUGAAGAUAUUAUGGGGUGUUUUGAGGAUUGUGAUAAUAAAUUGUAUUAAUGUGUUCAGCAAAAUCUUGUGUUCUCACAAGCUCCUUAUGAAUUUAUACAGAGGAUGAGCGUCAGGGCCUACUUGGAGUCCUGUUUCCUUAGCUUCAAGCCUUCUUUCUCCUGCUAUAGUUAUUCAUCCAAGGUCCCCAUGGCAACCAAUUUGUGCACCUGGAGACACACAGCUGACUGGAAAGCUGCUUCUAAUGGCCAUAUGAGACACAUGAAGCCAGUCCAGUACACAUAGCACUGGGGAUGACACUUAAAACCCUUUCCUAGAGCGCUUGAAAAACCUUCAGCCCCUAUCUCCUCACAUGACCUUUGACCUACAGAAACCAUUCAGGGCUUUAAAAUUUAAGCUCAUUGAGGACAAUAUGGGGUGUAUUUAGGAUUUAUAUUCAUUUAAAUGUUUCACAUUUUAAAGUCACUCAGUGAUAAUUUAUCAUUUAAUUUUUCAAACUAAUUUAAACUCAUUCAAAAUGAUUCAAACCUUUCUAAUACUUAAAAACUGUCUGAUACUUGAGGAUUUUUAAUUAAUAAAAUUUUCCCUGUUUUAUAUUAUUUUUUAAUAUUUAUGCAUUAAUCCGUCCUUCAAACAAAAUCCUACCUCUAGUACUACAACUACUUAUGUCAAUUAAACUAGAACUUUCCCCUCUACUUCAACUGCUAUUGCUCCUAUUUCUACUUUCUCUACUGCUGCUAUUGCUACUAUUUCUACUUUCUUUACUACUUUGACUUAUACUUCUUUUAUUCUCAAUCUACUUCUACUGCUGACAUGACUACUAGUAUCACGACUUGACUUCUUAUCAUACUUCUUCUAGUACUACAACUUAAACUUAUGCCACUUCUCACCUUCCUGCCUUUAAAGGCAGUUUCCUUCUUCAUUCAAACUUUGUGCAAUUUUCGACAUUUUUCUAGCCUCUUUCAGCAUGAAUAAAAUUUCCUUUUAUAGAGCAUAUUCAUACUAUUUGUCCUUCAACCAAUUAAACUAUUAUCCAACUUAUAUUUCUUUUUCACCCCUUCAACAGCUUUAACAUUUAUACCUUUCUCCAUGUUUUAUUAGCAGUUUAGCAUUGCUUUUUCAGCUUUCAGCACUCAGCAUUUCCACGCAUUUUCUGCAAGGAAAUGCAAUUUUUCUAGUUGUUAUUCUACUAUUUCUUUAUUAUUAUUAUUCUUCCGUACCUUUUUUGGCCCUUUUCAACUCCUCACCACUUUGUGCUAUUUUCACCAUUCAAACUUUAUACUAAUGCACUCCUUCAGGACAUUACGGCUAUUACUUUUCACCUUUCUACCAUUUAUACUUUUUGCAAUAUUUCACUUUUUCUGCAAAAUUUGUUCCAUUACAAAUGAAUGGAGAUACAGCUAUAACACCUUCUCACCCUUAUAACUUCUGCAUACUUUCACCUACAGACCUCAUUUUUGCUUUAAAAUGUUCAGCAACGUGUCUGCUACAAAUGUUGUAUUCACUCCUUUUUGCUAUUUCCUACCGUUUUUGCACAAUUUCGCUUGGAGCAACAUGAAGUCUUCUGCCUUUUUCAGCCUGACUCACGCUACAGCGUGUGACGUCAGAUGUUACGUCACCGCUAGAUGCGGGCGGGGCCUUUUGGAUUCACUACACCAAGCAUGAUUAUUUUGCUGCUGCGGCCGCAAUUUUCACUCCACAGCCAUAAAAAACACAUCAAAAUGGAGGUACACUCGUCCUGCUUCUCACAAAAUCGGUCUGAAGUCAUGAAAUUGUACAGCUUGCCCAGGAGGUGAGUACAUUCCUUCAGAGCCAGAGAUUCUGCACUUGUCAUGGGCUGUGUGCUUCGAUCGCACACGCACGGACUUGGCCGCUCGUGCGCGCGCGGGCACACACACAUACACACACACUGUUUCCAUGAGUGCAUUACUGUGUCUCUUUCUCUCUUACUGUCUCUGUCAGAUUCUGCACUUGUCAUGGGCUGUGUGCUUCGAUCGCACACGCACGGACUUGGCCGCUCGUGCGCGCGCGGGCACACACACAUACACACACACUGUUUCCAUGAGUGCAUUACUGUGUCUCUUUCUCUCUUACUGUCUCUGUCAGAUUCUGCACUUGUCAUGGGCUGUGUGCUUCGAUCACACACGCAUAUGCACACGCACGGGCUCGGCCGCGCGCGCGCGGGCACACACACACACACACACACACACACACACACACACACACACACACACACACACACACACACACUGUUUCCAUGUGUGCAAUACUGUCUCUCUGUCAGUAGAAAAUACAGCCCCAAUAUGAACUUUGUUGUUACAGUUCUUGUCUUUAACUCUUUUAACAUACUAACUUCUUCUUUUUCUUCUACUUCUGCUUUUCUUUUCUAUACUUUCUACAUUUAUACAAUUAAUUUAACUUCAGCUGUUUCAUACUUUCUGCAUUCAGAUGUAGGGCAGUAACUGAAGCAGGGCAAUAGAUGGUGCUGUUCUGCAUUCUCAAGUUACUAUGGUUGGAUGCUGCAGACUGCUAAAAUCUGUUUUACUAUUUGUACAUUUAAUAGGAACAUUGUUACACAUUGUUUAAAGGCAUUUGUUUUUCAAAUUCAAUUAUCCAUAUCAGUUCUGUUUAUUCACAUCAAUCAUAUACAUUUUUCACUUAGGCUAUCAGACAAUUUGUACAUUAAUCCAACUAAUUUACCUCCAGCUAUACUACAAUUCUUCCAUUCAUACAAUUUCUUCUUCUUCUACUCCACCUUUUCUACAGUUUUUCCGUUUAUACCUUCCUCCAUUUUUUAUUGGCAGUUUUGCAUUGCUUUUUCAGCUUUCAGCACUCAGCAUUUCCACGCAUUUUCUGCAAGGAAAUGCAAUUUUUCUAGUAUUAUACUUAACACUCUCCCCAUAUGUUUCUUUGGACCGCUUCUCCUCCUUCAAACUUUGUCCGAUUUCAACCGUUCAAACUUUAAACUAUUCCGCUCCAUCAGGACAUGAUGGCUAUUACUUUUCUCUUUUCUACCCUUUAUACUUUUUAUUAUUUUUCACUUUUUGUGCCAAACUUUUUUUCCCAUAGAAAUGAAUGGGGAAAUCUUUCAAUUCUUCCUGUUAUUCGUCCACCUUCUAAGCCUUAUAACUUCAGCAUACUUUCACCUACAGACCUCAUUUUUGCUUUAAAAUGUUCAUUGUCUUGUCGACUAUUGAUAUUGUAUUAACCUUUUUGUGCUAUCUUUUACAGUUUUUCCACAAUUUAGCUUUAUGCAACUUGUGGUUUUCAGCAAAUUUCAGGCUUUAUAAUAGGGGUGUAUUGGAGAGGCUAGAGUGAUGAUUUGAAAAGCUAGAGUGCAGACCUCGUCUCUGAUCGACAGAACCUCGCUCGAAUAUAUCGCUCCCACGCCCACAAAUCUCACUCCACACCAUAAAAAAUACAUCAAAAUGGAGGUAUAUGUGUCCUGCUUCUCACAAAAGAGGUUUCAAAUCAUUAAAUCGUACCCCUUGGCCAGCAGGUGACCAACUGUCCAAAUAGGCGAAAUCUCUCCCAUUGACCAUAAUGUUAUUUUUCUCCAAGAAAAUCCGGAUCAUCGCUCAGGCUCAGACUUUUUUAACUCGCUGUUGUGGCCUCAUUUUUCGGAGUACAGACAUGAAAAACACAUCAUUGUGUUCAUGAAGGACGGAGGAUUCGUACGAUGUUCUUAUUUUCAUUCUGGGACUUAAGGAAAUCACGCUAUGUGAAGAAGUUCACAGGCUGAAAUUCACUGCAGUUCAGCACCUCUCAGUCAAACAGUAGGUUAGUGAUUUGCCUUUGAUCUCACAGCUGUUUAGGAUGCAGUCAUUAACGAGACACACACACACACACACACACACACACAUUCUUGUACUUGUUGCUUUUUGAGGUCCACCUUGCAGUUCAGCUGCUUGUACACACAGUUAAUAUGUGUCUGCUUCACCACCUAUCUCCACCCACAAACUUUGAGCUACAGAAACCAUUCUGGGCUUGAAAAAUUCAGCUCAUUGAAGAUAUUAUGGGGUGUUUUGAGGAUUGUGAUAAUAAAUUGUAUUAAUGUGUUCAGCAGAGUCUUGUGUUCUCACAAGCUCCUUAUGAAUAUAUACAGAGGGUGAGCGUCAGGGCCUACUUGGAGUCCUGUUUCUUUAGCUUCAAGCCUUCUUCUCCUGCUAUAGUUAUGCAUCCAAGGUCCCCAUGGCAACCAAUUUGUGCACCUGGAGACACACAGCUGACUGGAAAGCUGCUUCUAGUGGCCAUAUGAGACACAUGAAGCCAGGCUCAGUACACAUAGCAAUUGGGAUGACACUUAAAACCCUUUCCUAGAGCGUUGGAAAAAACUUCAGCCCCUAUCUCCUCACAUGACCUUUGACCUACAGAAACCAUUCAGGGCUUUGAAAUUUAAGCUCAUUGAGGACAUUAUUGGGUGUAUUUAGGAUUGUUAUUCAUUUAAAUUUUUCACAUUUUAAAAGUCAGUCAGUGAUGAUUUAUCAUUACAUUUUUCAAACUAAUUUAAACUCAUUCAAACUGAUUCAAACCUUUCUAAUACUUCAAAACUUUCUGAUACUUGAGGACUUUUGAUAAUUUAAAAUUUCCCUGUUUUAAAUUAGUUUUAAUAUUUAUGCAUUACUCCAUCAUUCAAACAAAAUCCUACCUCAAGUACGACAACUACUGCUAAUGUCAAUUAAACUAGAACUUUCCCCUCUACUUAAACUGCUAUUGCUCCUAUUUCUACUUUCUUUACUACUUUGACUUAUACUUCUUUUAUUCUCAAUCUACUUCUACUGCUGACAUGACUACUAGUAUCACGACUUGACUUCUUAUAAUACUACUUCUAGUACUACAAUUUAAACUUAUGCCACUUCUCACCUUCCUGCCUUUUAAGGCAAUUUCCUUUUUCAUUCAAACUUUGUGCAAUUUUCGACAUUUUUCUAGCCUCUUUCAGCAUGAAUAAAAUUUCCUUUUAUAGAGCAUAUUCAUACUAUUUGUCCUUCAACCAAUUAAUCAAUUAUCCAACUUAUAUUUCUGUUCACCCCUUCAACAGCUUUAACAUUUAUACCUUUCUCCAUGUUUUAUUAGCAGUUUAGCAUUGCUUUUUCAGCUUUCAGCACUCAGCAUUUCCACGCAUUUUCUGCAAGGAAAUGCAAUUUUUCUAGUUAAGUGGAAAUGCUGAUAGGCAUUUCCACUUAUUGUUAUUCUCCUGUUUCUUUAUUAUUAUUAUUAUAUUCUUCCGCCGUUUUUUGUCCGCUUUCAACUCCUUCAAACUUUGUGCGAUUUCAACCGUUCAAACUUUAAACUAUUCCACUCCUUCAGGACAUGUGUGCUUGUAUUUUUUUUACCUUUCUACCUUUUAUACUUUUUGUUUUUUUUAACUUUUUGUGCAAAAAUUUUAACAUUGAAGUCAAUGGGGAAAUCUUCCACUCUUCCUUUUAUUCUUCCACCUUCUAGACCUUAUAACUUCAGCAUACUUUCACCUAGAGACCUCAUUUUUGCUUUAAAAUGUUCAUUCACUUGUCGACUAUUACAGUUGUACUCAGUUUUUGAUAUCUCUUACAGUUUUUCCACAAUUUAGCUUUAAGCAACUUGUGGUUUUCAGCAAAUUUCAAGCUUUAUAAUGGGUGUGUAUUGGAGAGUUUAGAGUGAUGAUGUCAUCAGCUAGAGUGCAGACCUCGUCUCUGAUCGACAGAACCUCGCUCGAAUAUAUCGCUCCCACGCCCACAAAUCUCACUCCACUGACACAAAUAAUACAUCAAAAUGGAGGUAUAUGUGUCCUGCUUCUCACAAAAGAGGUUUCAAAUCAUUAAAUCGUACCCCUUGGCCAGCAGGUGACCAACUGUCCAAGGAAGGCGGAAAUCUCUCCCCAUUAGACCUAAUGUAUUUCUUCUCCAAGAAAAUCCUUAUCCCCACUCAGGCUCAGACUUUUUUAACUCGCUGUUGUGGCCACAUUUUUCGGAGUACAGACAUGAAAAAGACAUCAUUGUGUUCAUGAAGGCCGGAGGAUUCGUACGAUGUUCUUAUUUUCAUUCUGGGACUUAAGGAAAUCACGCUAUGUGAAGAAGUUCACAGGCUUCAAAACCUCUGCUGUUCAGCUGCUUCUCAUUCAAACAGUAGGUCAGUGAUUUGCCUUUGAUCUCACAGCUGUUUAGGAUGCAAUCAUUAACGAGACACACACACACACACACACACACACACACACACACACAUUCUUGUACUUGUUGCAUUGUCAGGUCUACCUUGCAGUUCAGCUGCUUGUACACACAGGUAAUAUGUGUCUGCUUCACCACCUAUCUCCACCCACAAACUUUGAGCUACAGAAACCAUUCUGGGCUUGAAAAAUUCAGCUCAUUGAAGAUAUUAUGGGGUGUUUUGAGGAUUGUGAUAAUAAAUUGUAUUAAUGUGUUCAGCAAAAUCUUGUGUUCUCACAAGCUCCUUAUCAUGAAUAUAUACAGACGAUGAGCGUCAGGGCCUACUUGGAGUCCUGUUUCCUUAGCUUUAAGCCUUCUUUCUCCUGCUAUAGUUAUGCAUCCAAGGUCCCCAUGGCAACCAACUUGUGCACCUGGAGACACGCAGCUGACUGGAAAGCUGCUUCUAAUGGCCAUAUGAGACACAUGAAGCCAGGCUCAGUACACAUAGCACUGGGGAUGACACUUAAAACCCUUUCCUAGAGCGCUUGAAAAAACUUCAGCCCCUAUCUCCUCACAUGACCUUUGACCUACAGAAACCAUUCAGGGCUUUAAAAUUUAAGCUCAUUGAGGACAUUAUGGGGUGUAUUUAGGAUUUAUAUUCAUUUAAAUUUUUUACAUUUUAAAGUCACUAAGUGAUGAUUUAUCAUUUAUUUUUUCAAACUAAUUUAAACUCAUUCAAACUGAUUCAAACCUUUCUAAUACUUGAAAACUUUCUGAUUCUUGAGGAUUUUUAAUUAUUUAAAUUUUCCCUGUUUGAAAUAAGUUUUAAUAUUUAUGCAUUACUCUAUCCUUCAAACAAAAUCCUACCUCAAGUACGACAACUACCGCUAAUGUCAAUUAAACUAGUACUAUCCCCUCUACUUCAACUGCUAUUGCUCCUAUUUCUACUUUCUCUACUAUUGUGACUUAUACUUCUUUUAUUCUCAAACUACUUCUACUGCUGACAUGACUACUAGUAUCACCACUUGACCUCCUAUACUACUUCUAGUACUACAACUUAAACUUAUGCCACUUCUCAACUUCCUGCCUUUUAAGGCAGUUUCCUUCUUCAUUCAAACUUUGUGCAAUUUUAGACAUUUUUCUAGCCUCUUUCAGCAUGAAUAAAAUUUCCUUUUAUAGAGCAUAUUCAUACUAUUUGUCCUUCAUCCAAUUUAACAGUUAUCCAACCUAUAUUUCUUUCUCACUCCUUCAACAGCUUUAACAUUUAUACCUUUCUCCAUGUUUUAUUAGCAGUUUAGCAUUGCUUUGUUAGCUUUCAGCACUCAGCAUUUCCACGCAUUUUCUGCAAGGAAAUGCAAUUUUUCUAGUAUUAUACUUAACACUCUCCCCAUACGUUUCUUUGGACCGCUUCUCCUCCUUCAAACUUUGUCCGAUUUCAACCGUUCAAACUUUUAACUAUUCCACUCCUUCAGGACAUGUGUGCUUGUAUUUUUUACCUUUCUACCUUUUAUACUUUUUGUUUUUUUUAACUUUUUGUGCAAAAAUUUUAACAUUGAAGUCAAUGGGGAAAUCUUCCACUCCUUCCUUUUAUUCUUCCACCUUCUAGACCUUAUAACUUCAGCAUACUUUCACCUAGAGACCUCAUUUUUGCUUUAAAAUGUUCAUUCACUUGUCGACUAUUACAGUUGUACUCAGUUUUUUGAUAUCUCUUACAGUUUUUCCACAAUUUAGCUUUAAGCAACUUGUGGUUUUCAGCAAAUUUCAAGCUUUAUAAUGGGUGUGUAUUGGAGAGUUUAGAGUGAUGAUGUCAUCAGCUAGAGUGCAGACCUCGUCUCUGAUCGACAGAACCUCGCUCGAAUAUAUCGCUCCCACGCCCACAAAUCUCACUCCACUGACACAAAUAAUACAUCAAAAUGGAGGUAUAUGUGUCCUGCUUCUCACAAAAGAGGUUUCAAAUCAUUAAAUCCUACCCCUUGGCCAGCAGGUGACCAACUGUCCAAAUAGGUGGAAAUCUCUCCCCAUUAGACCUAAUGUAUUUCUUCUCCAAGAAAAUCCUUAUCCCCACUCAGGCUCAGACUUUUUUAACUCGCUGUUGUGGCCACAUUUUUCGAAGUACAGACAUGAAAAACACAUCAUUGUGUUCAUGAAGGACGGAGGAUUCGUACGAUGUUCUUAUUUUCAUUCUGGGACUUAAGGAAAUCACGCUAUGUGAAGAAGUUCACAGGCUGAAAUUCACUGCAGUUCAGCACCUCUCAGUCAAACAGUAGGUUAGUGAUUUGCCUUUGAUCUCACAGCUGUUUAGGAUGCAGUCAUUAACGAGACACACACACACACGCACACACAUUCUUGUACUUGUUGCUUUUUGAGGUCCACCUUGCAGUUCAGCUGCUUGUACACACAGUUAAUAUGUGUCUGCUUCACCACCUAUCUCCACCCACAAACUUUGAGCUACAGAAACCAUUCUGGGCUUGAAAAAUUCAGCUCAUUGAAGAUAUUAUGGGGUGUUUUGAGGAUUGUGAUAAUAAAUUGUAUAUAUUCAUAAGGAGCUUGUGAGAACACAAGACUCUGCUGAACACAUUAAUACAGAGGGUGAGCGUCAGGGCCUACUUGGAGUCCUGUUUCUUUAGCUUCAAGGCCUUCUUUCUCCUGCUAUAGUUAUGCAUCCAAGGUCCCCAUGGCAACCAAUUAGUGCACCUGGAGACACACAGCUGACUGGAAAGCUGCUUCUAGUGGCCAUAUGAGACACAUGAAGCCAGGCUCAGUACACAUAGCAAUUGGGAUGACACUUAAAACCCUUUCCUAGAGCGUUGGAAAAAACUUCAGCCCCUAUCUCCUCACAUGACCUUUGACCUACAGAAACCAUUCAGGGCUUUGAAAUUUAAGCUCAUUGAGGACAUUAUUGGGUGUAUUUAGGAUUGUCAUUCAUUUAAAUUUUUCACAUUUUAAAAGUCAGUCAGUGAUGAUUUAUCAUUUAAUUUUUCAAACUAAUUUAAACUCAUUCAAACUGAUUCAAACCUUUCUAAUACUUCAAAACUUUCUGAUACUUGAGGACUUUUGAUAAUUUAAAAUUUCCCUGUUUUAAAUUAGUUUUAAUAUUUAUGCAUUAUUCCAUCCUUCAAACAAAAUCAUACCUCAAGUACUAGAACUACUGCUAAUGUCAAUUAAACUAGUACUUUCCCCUCUACUUCAACUGCUAUUGCUCCUAUUUCUACUUUCUCUACUUUGACUUAUACUUCUUUUAUUCUCAAACUACUUCUACUGCUGACAUGACUACUAGUAUCACGACUUGACCUCUUAUCAUACUACUUCUAGUACUACAACUUAAACUUAUGCCACCUCUCACCUUCCUGCCUUUUAAGGCAAUUUCCUUCUUCAUUCAAACUUUGUGCAAUUUGAGACAUUUUUCUAGCCUCUUUCAGCAUGAAUAAAAUUUCCUUUUAUAGAGCAUAUUCAUACUAUUUGUCCUUCAACCAAUUAAACAAUUAUCCAACUUAUAUUUCUUUUUCACCCCUUCAACAGCUUUAACAUUUAUACCUUUCUCCAUGUUUUAUUAGCAGUUUAGCAUUGCUUUUUCAGCUUUCAGCACUCAGCAUUUCCACGCAUUUUCUGCAAGGAAAUGCAAUUUUUCUAGUAUUAUACUUAACACUCUCCCCAUACGUUUCUUUGGACCGCUUCUCCUCCUUCAAACUUUGUCCGAUUUCAACCGUUCAAACUUUAAACGAUUCCACUCCUUCAGGACAUGAUGGCUAUUACUUUUCUCUUUUCUAUCCUUUAUACUUUUUAUUAUUUUUCACUUUUUGUGCCAAACUUUUUUUCCCAUAGAAAUGAAUGGGGAAAUCUUCCAAUUCUUCCUGUUAUUCGUCCACCUUCUAAGCCUUAUAACUUCAGCAUACUUUCACCUAGAGACCUCAUUUUUGCUUUAAAAUGUUCAUUGUCUUGUCGACUAUUGAUGUUGUAUUAACCUUUUUGUGCUAUCUUUUACAGUUUUUCCACAAUUUAGCUUUAUGCAACUUGUGGUUUUCAGCUAAUUUCAGGCUUUAUAAUAGGGGUGUAUUGGAGAGGCUAGAGUGAUGAUUUGAAAAGCUAGAGUGCAGACCUCGUCUCUGAUCGACAGAACCUCGCUCGAAUAUAUCGCUCCCACGCCCACAAAUCUCACUCCACAGCCAUAAAAAAUACAUCAAAAUGGAGGUAUAUGUGUCCUGCUUCUCACAAAAGAGGUUUCAAAUCAUUAAAUCUUACCCCUUGGCCAGCAGGUGACCAACUGUCCAAAUAGGCGGAAAUCUCUCCCCAUUGGCUCUAAUGUAUUUUUUCUCCAAGAAAAUCCUUAUCGCCACUCAGGCUCAGACUUUUUUAACUCGCUGUUGUGGCCACAUUUUUCGGAGUACAGACAUGAAAAACACAUCAUUGUGUUCAUGAAGGGCGGAGGAUUUGUACGAUGUUCUUAUUUUCAUUCUGGGACUUAAGGAAAUCGUGCUAUGUGAAGAAGUUCAGAACCCUUAAUUCACUGCAGUUCAGCAGCUUCUCCAUUCAAACAAUAGGUCAGUUCAUGGCUUUGAUCUUUCAGCUGUUUAGGAUGCAAUCAUUAACGAGACACACACACACACACACAAACACACAUUCUUGUACUUGUUGCUUUGUGAGGUCUACCUUGCAGUUCAGCUGCUUGUACACACAUUUAAUAUGUGUCUGCUUCACCACCUAUCUCCAACCACAAACUUUGAGCCACAGGAACCAUUCUGGGCUUCAAAAAUUCAGCUCAUUCAAGAUAUUAUGGGGUGUUUUGAAGAUUGUGAUAAUAAAUUGUAUUAAUGUGUUCAGCAGAGUCUUGUGUUCUCACAAGCUCCUUAUGAAUAUAUACAGAGGAUGAGCGUCAGGGCCUACUUGGAGUCCUGUUUCCUUAGCUUUAAGCCUUCUUUCUCCUGCUAUAGUUAUGCAUCCAAGGUCCCCAUGGCAACCAACUUGUGCACCUGGAGACACACAGCUGACUGGAAAGCUGCUUCUAAUGGCCAUAUGAGACACAUGAAGCCAGGCUCAGUACACAUAGCACUGGGGAUGACACUUAAAACCCUUUCCUAGAGCGCUUGAAAAAACUUUAGCCCCUAUUUCCUCACAUGACCUUUGACCUACAGAAACCAUUCAGGGCUUUAAAAUUUAAGCUCAUUGAGGACAUUAUGGGGUGUAUUUAGGAUUUAUAUUCAUUUAAAUUUUUCACAUUUUAAAGUCACUCAGUGAUGAUUUAUCAUUUAUUUUUUCAAACUAAUUGAAACUCAUUCAAACUGAUUCAAACCUUUCUAAUACUUAAAAACUUUCUGAUUCUUGAGGAUUUUUCAUUAUUUAAAUUUUCCCUGUUUAAAUUAGUUUUCAUAUUUAUGCAUUAUUCCAUCCUUCAAACAAAAUCCUACCUCAAGUACGACAACUACUGCUAAUGUCAAUUAAACAAGUACUUUCCCCUCUACUUCAACUGCUAUUGCUCCUAUUUCUACUUUCUCUACUGCUGCUAUUGCUGCUAUUUCUACUUUCUCUACUACUUUGACUUAUACUUUUAUUCUCAAUCUACUUCUACUGCUGACAUGACUACUAGUAUCACGGCUUGACCUCUUAUCAUACUACUUCUAGUACUACAACUUAAACUUAUGCCACUUCUCACCUUCCUGCCUUUUAAGGCAAUUUCCUUCUUCAUUCAAACUGUGUGCAAUUUUAGACAUUUUUCUAGCCUCUUUCAGCAUGAAUAAAAUUUCCUUUUAUAGAGCAAACUUACACAAUAUUUUCCUUCAACCAAUUUAACAGUUAUCCAAAUUAUAUUUCUUUUUCACUCCUUCAACAGCUUUAACAUUUAUACCUUUCUCCAUGUUUUAUUAGCAGUUUAGCAUUGCUUUUUCAGCUUUCAGCACUCAGCAUUUCCACGCAUUUUCUGCAAGGAAAUGCAAUUUUUCUAGUU